rnacentral:rRNA from 1 species
GACGUAGGGCGCGAGCGUUGUCUGGAUUUAUUGGGCGUAAAGAGCUCGUAGGCGGCUUGUCGCGUCGUCCGUGAAAACCCAUGGCUCAACUGUGGGCUUGCGGUCGAUACGGGCAGGCUGGAGUUCGGUAGGGGAGACUGGAAUUCCUGGUGUAGCGGUGAAAUGCGCAGAUAUCAGGAGGAACACCGGUGGCGAAGGCGGGUCUCUGGGCCGAUACUGACGCUGAGGAGCGAAAGCGUGGGGAGCGAACAGG